rnacentral:rRNA from 1 species
UGGGGAAUAUUGGACAAUGGGGGGAACCCUGAUCCAGCCAUGCCGCGUGUGUGAAGAAGGCCUUAUGGUUGUAAAGCACUUUAAGCGAGGAGGAGGGUACUGGUAUUAAUACUACCAGCUACUGGACGUUACUCGCAGAAUAAGCACCGGCUAACUCUGUGCCAGCAGCCGCGGUAAUACAGAGGGUGCGAGCGUUAAUCGGAUUUACUGGGCGUAAAGCGUGCGUAGGCGGCUAAUUGAGUCGGAUGUGAAAUCCCCGAGCUUAACUUGGAAUUGCAUUCGAUACUGGUUAGCUAGAGUGUGGGAGAGGAUGGUAGAAUUCCAGGUGUAGCGGUGAAAUGCGUAGAGAUCUGGAGGAAUACCGGUGGCGAAGGCAGCCAUCUGGCCUAACACUGACGCUGAGGUACGAAAGCAUGGGGAGCAAACAGG